rnacentral:rRNA from 1 species
UACGUAGGGGGGCAAGCGUUGUCCGGACUUACUGGGCGUAAAGCGCGUGCAGGCGGAUUGGUAUGUGCCGUGUGAAAGCUCUCAGCUUGCCUGGGAGAGGUCGCGGUAGACAGCCGAUCUGGAGGCUCGGAGAGGUCAGUGGAAUUCCCGGUGUAGUGGUGAAAUGCGUAGAUAUCGGGAGGAACACCAGUGGCGAAGGCGAACUUACUGGACACAUAUU